rnacentral:rRNA from 1 species
GAAGAACGCUGGCGGCGUGCCUAAUACAUGCAAGUCGAGCGAAUGGAUUAAGAGCUUGCUCUUAUGAAGUUAGCGGCGGACGGGUGAGUAACACGUGGGUAACCUGCCCAUAAGACUGGGAUAACUACGGGAAACCGGGGCUAAUACCGGAUAACAUUUUGAACCGAAUGGUUGGAAAUUGAAAGGCGGGUUCGGCUGUCACUCAUGGCUGGACCCGCGUUGCAUUAGCUAGUUGGUGAGGUAACGACUAACCAAGGCAACGAUGCGUAGCCGACCUAAGAGGGUGAUCGGCCACACUUGGACUGAGACACGGCCCAGACUCCUACGGGAGGCAGCAGUAGGGAAUCUUCCGCAAUGGACGAAAGUCUGACGGAGCAACGCCGCGUGAGUGAUGAAGGCUUUCGGGUCGUAAAACUCUGUUGUUAGGGAAGAACAAGUGCUAGUUGAAUAAGCUGGCACCUUGACGGUACCUAACCAGAAAGCCACGGCUAACUACGUGCCAGCAGCCGCCGCAG